UUUCCGCGGGAUAUAUUCCUACACACUAAAGUAGUGAUGUAUAGUAAGUCAAGCAUAUAUGUGUAUAUUUUUCUAUAUCUCUCUAUCUCUCUCACUCUCUCUCAAUCUCUCUCAAUCUCUCUCACUCUCUCUCAAUCUCUCUCACUCUCUCUCAAUCUCUCUCACUCUCUCUCACUCUCUCUCACUCUCUCUCAAUCUCUCUCACUCUCUCUCACUCUCUCUCACUCUCUCUCACUCUCGACUCUCUCUCACUUUCUCUCACUCUCUUUUUUUUUUUUUCUCCCUCACUCUCUCUCACUCUCGGUCUCUCCCUCCCCUCACGCACACUCCUCUCUCUCCCUCAUUACUUCAUUCCUUCACCAUCAAUGUAACACACAUGCAAGCAUUUAAAACCUAACCUAAUAGCUAACCUAGUUAGCCAACAAAAUCCCCACCUUUAAGCUCCCACAUCCCUCUCUCAUAUCUCCCUCUCUCGGUCCUCUCUCCUCCCUCCUCCUCUCUUCUCCUUCUCUAUUCAUUCCAUAGGAUGACAUAUCCACCA
rnacentral:lncRNA from 1 species